rnacentral:hammerhead_ribozyme from 1 species
AUCUAGCUGUCGAAUUCCAAAUAAGAUGAAACGCGCGUCCUGGAU